rnacentral:tmRNA from 1 species
GCUCUUCCGCCGUCGCCCGUUACCCCCUAUAUUAGCUUUGCCGGCUUGCCGGCUAUGGCGAUAAAUGGCCGUCGUAAUAAACCAUUCGGACCCGGGGGCAGUACCCGGCGCCUCCACCAAUUCCAGGGCAGCCUGCCCGGUGACCGGUAAUCGGAUUACCACCGGCGGCUACCUGAUACGGGGGCGAAACAGGAUCGACGAGGGCGUAAAGGGCGCGCUUUUGCCCGGCAUGGUUCCGCCGUUAUCGGGCCACUGCAAUAGUUGCCAACGACAACUAUGCUCCGGUUGCUCAGGCCGCGUAAGCGGUUUGAAAGACCGACCUGAAGCCCUGGCGUCUUAGCAGCGUCAGGCGGGGUUCGGAGGCACCUGGCAACAGAAGCCUCCACU